CUUGUGAGGUGAGGGCUGUAACCA
rnacentral:miRNA from 1 species